GACGAACGCUGGCGGCGUGCUUAACACAUGCAAGUCGAACGGUAAGGCCCUUCGGGGUACGCGAGUGGCGAACGGGUGAGUAACACGUGGGUGAUCUGCCCUGCACUUCGGGAUAAGCCUGGGAAACUGGGUCUAAUACCGGAUAGGACCCUGGGAUGCAUGUCCUGGGGUGGAAAGCUUUUGCGGUGUGGGAUGGGCCCGCGGCCUAUCAGCUUGUUGGUGGGGUGAUGGCCUACCAAGGCGACGACGGGUAGCCGGCCUGAGAGGGUGACCGGCGACACUGGGAGUGAGGUACGGCCCAGACUCCUACGGGGGGCGGCAGUGGGGAAUAUUGCACAAUGGGCGCAAGCCUGAUGCAGCGACGCCGCGUGAGGGAUGACGGCCUUCGGGUUGUAAACCUCUUUCAGCACCGACGAAGCGCAAGUGACGGUAGGUGCAGAAGAAGGACCGGCCAACUACGUGCCAGCAGCCGCCGUAA
rnacentral:rRNA from 1 species